rnacentral:miRNA from 1 species
AACACCCGGAUGAACUUUUGG